rnacentral:rRNA from 1 species
GAUGAACGCUGGCGGCGUGCCUAAUACAUGCAAGUAGAACGCUGAAGGAGGAGCUUGCUCUUCUGGAUGAGUUGCGAACGGGUGAGUAACGCGUAGGUAACCUGCCUCGUAGCGGGGGAUAACUAUUGGAAACGAUAGCUAAUACCGCAUGACAACAGUUAUUGCAUGUUAAUUGUUUAAAAGGGGCAACUGCUCCACUACCAGAUGGUCCUGCGUUGUAUUAGCUAGUUGGUGAGGUAACGGCUCAACAAGGCGACGAUACUUAGCCGACCUGGGAGGGGGAUCGGCCACACCGGGACUGAGACAAGGCCCAAGAUCCCUAGGGGAGCAGCAGGAGGGGAUCCUCCGCAAUGGACGGAAGGCCUAACGAGGAACGCCGGGUGAGGGAAGAAGGGUUUCGGAUCGGAAAGCUCUGUUGUAAGGGGAGAAAGAAUGUGGGAGUGGAAAGUGCACACUGUGACGGUAUCUUACCAGAAAGGGACGGCUAACUACGUG